AAAUGUCGGUGUGCUCUCAUGAACAGAAACGAUGGCACGGUGGGUCCUGGUCUCAAGACUUCCUCUCAAUGAUUCAGAGGUCUUGGGGGUUUUUUGUCUGAAUAUCAGGCAAAGAGGAAGGACGGCUACAAUGGAGGAGUCUCCUACCACGCUUGUGGUCGUCACUGUAGUGCUCAGUUGAAUGGUGUGUCCAUUGGGGUUGGAGUCCCCAUCCUGUUCUGGGUCCUGGCCCCCCACAGGCUCCAGGGACAUAACCCUUCCAGUUCAGGAUCAUGUGCUGGGGCACUGUUCCCUGAGGUGGGACUCUGGGCUGUAACAGCUGCUUUUGAAGCAUGUUCCAGCUUCAACCACGUGCUUGGACGACACCAGCUCUUCCCACAUACUCUUCCCCAGCUCUUGUGUUGAGUUUGGCUUCCACCUUCCUCCAGCUGAGAAAACACCUAUGCAGAAUUGCAAGUUGUGAUGGGCCCUUGAAAAUCAACGUGUGUGCCGAAUCCAGGUGGAUGCUGUGACCUCACAAAAGCUGUGAAGGUGUGCUAUCGCAGAGUGGAGGUGUGGCAAAGUCCAGAUUCAAGAAAAGGCUGAAGUCAGCUUGUGUCCCUGACCUGGGAUCUCAGCCUUAAUCUCAUGUUUAGAAGUGAGGCCAGUGCCAUUGGCCAUUGACAUCCAGAAGAUAAACUCUCAUGGAAUGACAGCUGACAAACAGCAGAUGCCUUCAGACUGGCAGAUUCUUCUAUCUUGUGUUAAUGCAUCUUUAUGGGAAUUCACAAUGUUCUCUAGGCAGGGGUCCAAGUGAUAAGCACCAGAGCUUUGAAAUAAGAUAGUAGAAAGCGGGGUAGGCUGUGCUUUUGAAGUGCAUUUUCCUGGCAAACGGAAGAUGGCCCUCCUCAUUCUGCCAAAGGGAAUUCUAAGAGCCAAGAUUGCAUAAGAGGAUUGCAUUUUGGAUGUUUUUAGGAUGUGAGCUGAGGUAGGCUUAGCUCUGGCUCAAGGAUUUCAAAGUAACUGACUUGUUUUGUGUACUUUCAGCUCUCUGCAACUCUUGCUGAAUUUUGGCAUCUUUAGCAGAGCAGGAGCAAUCAGCAUUGAUAAACAGAUUUCCUCUUGUAUGGGUGCCUUGCCAGUGCAGGGAUGUGCAGUGAUCUUUCACCCUCUCAGCUUUCCUCUCGAUACUGCAUUCAUCAUUUCAAGAGCUUUCAGGAAUGUGGGCCGUGCUGACAUUUUGUAAUGUCUAUCAGGAAUUGAGAUUUUAGGGUAACAACAUAAAAUGUUCCUAAGGUGAAGGUUUUGUUGUUGUUUUUGUUGUUAAUUGCCUACAUUAUGACAGUUUUGUACUUAAUUAUCACCACAUAUCUAGCUGCUUGAAAACUGUUUCUUUUUUAAAAAUACAAAGCAAUAAAAAUAUAAACUUAAAUUUCUUUAGCUUUAAUAUAUCUUGGUUCACCUCCUCUAAUUAAUUUGCCAUUCAGCUCAUUUCAUUAAUGUAUAAUAAAAUAACAAUUUGACAUUUGGAUAAGUUAGUGAAUUUGGGGCUUAUGCUUUUCAAAGCUGAUACUUGUUUUCUCUUAGGUUUUUAUUAUUGUAUUAGAGCCAUAUAAUAAAGGAAGAAAAAAAAAAUAAAAAAAUCCAUGGGAUUAAAGAAGAAAUUAUGUUGAUUAAAAUGUGUCAUUUGAGCCAGAUGUUC
rnacentral:lncRNA from 1 species